ACGUGGCCAAAUAUAUUGGGUCAGUACCUACACGAUUCCUUUAUUCUGAGGAAGUGUUAUUGUUGUCGAUUAUAUAAUUAAUACUUUGUAAAAUCAGUCCUUUCAUAAAAAAAAAAAAAACAAGAGCAUGUACUAUGUCAUAUUAGUUCAUAUUUUUUAUGUUUUUAAGGUGAUAGUGCUUACCCCCCCUACACCUCCUCCUCCUGACUCCUGUGCUCAACCCGACCACUCCAGGAGAGAAUUGAUACAAUGUGGCCCAUAUACGCACGAGGAAUAUUGUGGAGCCGGUUUCGUUGUUUGGACUGCAUUGGAGGAGACCACUGACCAGCCCAGAAAAAGUGGCCCACAUUGUAGUUGUCUGCUGUAUGUUGCACAACAUUGCCAAACAUCAUGUGUUGGAGCGUGAUGCCAUAGAAAUGAAGGAGGAGAAUGACCACGGGCCACGUGUGGGGCAACAACCCCAACCUUAUGGCGAGAUUGCAGACACGCAUCACUCUGAUUCAAAGUCAUUUCUCAUGAGCUGUUUGGGUGCAGGCUGCUCCUCUCCUCCCUCUCCAGUCCCCAGCUGCUCAGCUCUGGGACCGCUGGGAUUGAGAGACCUCACUACUGCCUGUACCCCAUCUUCCAUCCCUCUCGCCAGGGCAGCGCUGACCAGCUGCUGAGUGUCCCGCCUGAGCGCUCGUGCCAUACAGGACCCAGCUCGCACCUCCUGCGCAAUGGAUAACAAUCCAUCCUCAAGGGCUGCAGACUGAUCUUUUUUAUUCUUCCUGCAGCAACUCCUGAUCAGUGUCCUGAUAAACAGCGCUCUUGAGACUCUGUAGGUUUGUCUGUUGAUUUGGGCUGAUUUGAGGACUGGGGGGUGGGGAUGGCCGAACUUCUGGAUUCUCCCGAUAAAAAAAGGACAAAUAUUUAGUUUGAAGGUUAAAUUGUAAGGACAACUAUAUUCGGCAAAAGACUGCUGUGGGAGGCACAUUCAUUUUUUGAUUUGGUAGAUAAUAUUAAAUAAAUUAUAAGUUACU